AACGAACGCUGGCGGCAGGCUUAACACAUGCAAGUCGAGCGCCCCGCAAGGGGAGCGGCAGACGGGUGAGUAACGCGUGGGAAUCUACCCAUCUCUACGGAAUAACGCAUGGAAACGUGUGCUAAUACCGUAUACGUCCUUCGGGAGAAAGAUUUAUCGGAGAUGGAUGAGCCCGCGUUGGAUUAGCUAGUUGGUGGGGUAAAGGCCUACCAAGGCGACGAUCCAUAGCUGGUCUGAGAGGAUGAUCAGCCACACUGGGACUGAGACACGGCCCAGACUCCUACGGGAGGCAGCAGUGGGGAAUAUUGGACAAGGGGCGCAAGCCUGAUCCAGCCAUGCCGCGCGAGUGAUGAAGGCCCUAGGGUUGUAAAGCUCUUUCACCGGUGAAGAUAAUGACGGUAACCGGAGAAGAAGCCCCGGCUAACUUCGUGCCAGCCGCCGCGGUAACAC
rnacentral:rRNA from 1 species